UAUAUCCGUCUGGGCCAUCGAGAAUGGAAAAUAAUGCUUCCAGCACCGAGAGCCUCAUCGUAUUCAUCGUGCUUCGUCUUCCACAUAGAGUUCCCGAUAUGCCUCGUCAAUGGCUUAUGCCAACCCCCAAAAUCUCCCUCGGAGUGUUCAAAUCCCUCAUUCAGCGUUGCUCCAAAGCCCUAUCGCGCCUCCUUUCCUCCACUACCACUGCUAACCAUAACACCGAUCUUACACUUUCCGAAACAUUGUACAAAUAAUAUUAGGUAAACACAGAGAGAAACCGUCAAGCCGCCGCUCACCAAAAAAGUCGGUCGAUGUUUCAUAGACUCCGACGCCACAGGAGAUUGAGGAAAGCUGUGAUUUUUAUGUGGCUUCUCCGGAGAAGGAAGUGGAUUCGGUGAUUUUUAACAUAAUACCACAUUGCUCUUUAAUUUAAUCGGUUCUUCUUUUCUCAAUGUCAAUGGGAUGCGACUUUCCAUGCUCUCUCUUUUGAUUCAAGUUUUUUGGCUGGACCGCUUCGAAUUCGGUCUUUUAAUUUAUUGUUCUUCCCAAGCACUGAUCUGGGUUUGGUACCCUAUGUUUCUGGGUGCAGCAUCCUAACUUAAAGGACAUUGUCCAACCAAUAAAUCUCCUGAAAACCCAAAUUUUUCCUGUACAAAUACAGAGAUUUUUUUGUUAGUUCUGCUUCCUGAAUCUGAUAAUCUCUGCUACUUGGUACGGUUUAAAAAAAUUAUUUUGUGAUGAAGAGAAGAUGGCAUUUAAUCAGAAAGUUGAGGUUUUUUGCGUUUAAUUUCUAUGGGUUUUGUUUACUUUUUGUUUGUCGUUCAUUUUCUUGAUGUUUAUGCGUUCAAAUAUGCAAGCUUUAGAUGGGUUUGUACGUAUUUUGGUUCUCGUGGAUAGUGGGCUUCUAGAAUAUAGAAGUUGUUUUUUGAACUUUUGUUUCUGUUAAUUUUUUUCUUUUUUAUUGCUAUUUUUAGUUUGGGAUUGGGGAAGUCCUCUUGGAUUUUACCCCCUGAUUUUGGAUAUCAUUUUUUUUAAGCAAUCCUGUUAGAGAUCACGAUGACCAUCUAUUUAUAAUGAUGAUUAAGUGAAUAGCCUAUUGAUCCCUUUUCUUUUCUUGGAGAACUCAAGUAUCAUACAUGCAUGUUGAAGUUUAUGAUACAUGCAUGAACUGGCAGCUGGCCUGCAAGGUAUAUCCUUAAGGGAUCACCUACGGAGGGACUCUGCCGUGGAGGAACUCGGACACGCACGACGACCUGCAAAUGAGUAGUAACUUCAGCAAACGUUGGAGUGGAAACAAUGUAUUGUAGGCAGUAAUGCUGUUAGUAAAAAAGAUUAAAAUGCAUAGCGUUUAUUUUUGUUAUUGGGUUUUUCUUUUGCUUAUGUAUAUCUGCGUCUAUUUUAAAGAGUUGAAGAAAUCAGGUCUGCUUUUCAUUGUGUUCGUUGAUGCACUUCAGAACCUGCAUCUUAGAUGAAGUUGUUUAUUCUUCUAUUUAAUGCAUUCCUUUUGUUUGCUUGAUUUCUGAUGGCACAGAUGCUACUUCACGUUUCUGCUGGUUAUAACAGGGUCGAGAUAGUCAAAUUUCUUCUUGAUCGGCAAGGGACAUAUAAGGUUGAGUUGGAAGCCAAGAACAUGUAUGGAGAAACUCCUUUGCACAUAGCAGCAAAGAUUGGGUGCAAUGAUGCUGCAUAGUUGCUUCUUGGCCAUGGUGCUAUUAUUGAAGCCAAAGCAAAUAAUGGAAUGAUGCCAUUACAUCUUGCUGUUUGGUACUCACUUCGAGCUGAAGAUUGCUUGACUGUCAAUACAUUGCUCGAGUACAAUGCUGAUUGUAGUGCUAAGGAUAAUGAGGGCAUGACUCCUCUAAAUCAUCUUUCACCAGGCCCAGGAAGUGAAAAGUUGUGGGAACUAUUGAACUGGCAUCUUGAAGAGCAGCUGAAGAGAAGAGUGAUCGAAGCAUGCAGUGAAACUAAAGCUAAGAUGGAUGAGCUUGAAAAUGAAAUAUCAAAUGUAGUAGGUUUGCAUGAGCUUAAGGUACAACUACGGAAAUGGGCAAGGGGAAUGCUUUUGGAUGAGAGGCAUAGAACCCUUGGGCUGAAAGUUGGCAUCAGAAGAACCCCACUUAUGGCAUUCCUUGGCAAUCCUGGAUCAAGCGGUGGAGGUCGACUCGGUUAUAGAGUUCAUGUCGUAUCUGUUGAGCUCAUCUUCUCUAUUUGAUGAAGUUUUGUGGUCCGAACCGGAUUCCCCCAUGUCGGUUAUCUCCACUACCUCCCCAAUGCCAUUUUAUUCAAAACAGGGGUGGGAAGUGAAGAAGUAAAGAAAACAGAGCAUUACAACCAUUCGAAGAAAUGACUCAACGAAAGAUAAAUACUGCAAAGGCCCACGACACCCAUUUCAUCUCGGCUAAAAAGCUGUGGGCCUGCAAGAGUGUGUUCGGUAGGACGGAUUAUGGAGUAAGCUGCUGUCCAAGUAAUUCACCUUCAUGAGGAGUAAUAAAUUUUACUCUGCUUCUUUAUUUUUGCACGUGUAAAUAGGAAGGUAGUUAACUUACUAUUAUUGUACUUUGGCAAAUAAGGGUUUAGCAACAGCUUUGUAUAUAAAAGCUCAAGUUCAUGUAAUUACAUAACAUACGAUACAAUACAAUAGAAUAUUUUUCCAUCUUGGAAAUUAUUUCUUCUAACAUGGUAUCAGAAGAAAUUAGGGUUCAUUUCUAGUUUCCUCUUUAAUGCAACUUUCCUUUCGAUCAUGGCUGAAAAUACUAGUGAAAAUUCCACUCGACCUCACAUUAAUGUUGAAUCUGAUCC